rnacentral:rRNA from 1 species
CCUACGGGAGGCAGCAGUGGGGAAUAUUGGACAAUGGGGGCAAGCCUGAUCUAGCCAUGCCGCGUGAGUGAUGAAGGCCCUAGGGUCGUAAAGCUCUUUCAACUGUGAAGAUAAUGACGGUAGCAGUAGAAGAAACCCCGGCUAACUCCGUGCCAGCAGCCGCGGUAAU